rnacentral:rRNA from 1 species
CCUACGGGUGGCAGCAGUAGGGAAUAUUGGGCAAUGGACGCAAGUCUGACCCAGCCAUGCCGCGUGCAGGAAGAAGGCUUUUGAGUCGUAAACUGCUUUUGAAUGGGAACGUGUACCAUUAGAAUAAGCACCGGCUAACUCCGUGCCAGCAGCCGCGGUAAUACGGAGGGUGCAAGCGUUGUCCGGAUUUAUUGGGUUUAAAGGGUGCGUAGGCGGGCCUUUAAGUCAGUGGUGAAAGCCGACAGCUUAACUGUCGAAAUGCCAUUGAUACUGGGGGUCUUGAGUACAGUAGAGGUAGGCGGAAUUAAUGGUGUAGCGGUGAAAUGCAUAGAUACCAUUAAGAACACCGAUUGCGAAGGCAGCUUACUAUAGUGUACUGACGCUGAGGCACGAAAGUGUGGGGAUCAAACAGGAUUAGAUACCCUGGUAGUC